UACAGAGGUCCCAAGCGUUGUUCGGAUUCACUGGGCGUAAAGGGUGCGUAGGUGGUGGAGUAAGUCUGAUGUGAAAUCUCCGAGCUCAACUCGGAAAUGGCAUUGGAAACUACUCUGCUCGAGGGUUGGAGGGGGGACUGGAAUACUUGGUGUAGCAGUGAAAUGCGUAGAUAUCAAGUGGAACACCAGUGGCGAAGGCGAGUCCCUGGACAACUCCUGACACUGAGGCACGAAAGCUAGGGGAGCAAACAGG
rnacentral:rRNA from 1 species